UACGUAGGGCGCAAGCGUUGUCCGGAAUUAUUGGGCGUAAAGCGCUCGUAGGUGGCUUGUCACGUCGGGUGUGAAAGCUUGGGGCUUAACUCCAGGUCUGCAUUCGAUACGGGCUGGCUAGAGGUAGGUAGGGGAGAACGGAAUUCCUGGUGUAGCGGUGAAAUGCGCAGAUAUCAGGAGGAACACCGGUGGCGAAGGCGGUUCUCUGGGCCUUACCUGACGCUGAGGAGCGAAAGCGUGGGGAGCAAACAGG
rnacentral:rRNA from 1 species